UACGUAGGGUCCGAGCGUUGUCCGGAAUUAUUGGGCGUAAAGGGCUCGUAGGCGGUCUGUCGCGUCGGAUGUGAAAAUCCAGGGCUCAACCCUGGACCUGCAUUCGAUACGGGCAGACUAGAGUUCGGUAGGGGAGACUGGAAUUCCUGGUGUAGCGGUGAAAUGCGCAGAUAUCAGGAGGAACACCGGUGGCGAAGGCGGGUCUCUGGGCCGAUACUGACGCUGAGGAGCGAAAGCGUGGGGAGCGAACAGG
rnacentral:rRNA from 1 species